rnacentral:sRNA from 1 species
CCCUGGUGCCUUUAAGCCAGCCACCCUGCUCUCCUCCAGCCCCUUCCACUGUUCCAAGCCCCUUCCUCAGAGGCGUCUCCCCAACCCUCCUGCUGUCUGCAACUGUGUCUGAUGGCGAGUUGACGGGCGCCGACCUGAAGGACUGCGUCAGCAACAACAGCCUGAGCAGCAAUGCCAGCCUCCCCAGCGUGCAGAGCUGCCGGCGCCUGCGUGAGAGGAGGGUCGCCAGCUGGGCCGUGUCCUUUGAGCGCCUGCUGCAGGACCCCGUCGGUGUCCGCUACUUCUCUGAUUUUCUAAGGAAAGAAUUCAGUGAAGAAAACAUUUUAUUCUGGCAGGCCUGUGAAUAUUUUAAUCAUGUUCCUGCACAUGACAAAAAGGAG